CAUCACACGCCUCCUUCUUCCUCCCACUCUUCCUUGAGAGCCAAAAACCCAUCCUUCUCAAAAUACAAGCUUGCAUGACUAAUUUCUUCAUUAUAAUAAUAAUUCCUUUAACCAAGAAACAAGAAAGAUUAAACAUUAGUUCUUUUCCCCUAUUCUCUGAACCGAACAACAACACACAAAACUCCAAAAGAUCCCAAAUCACUAAUCUCACAAUUUCUCCAUUUAUUAGAAAUGCAUGUACGAAAUGCUUCUUAUAUUCAAGCUUUGAAGUGUUGGAAAUUAAAGUAAGACACUAAAUCCUUUUCCUUUCCCUUGAAAUUGGUCAUAUCUUUCGUUAUCAACAUCUAAGAAGAAACUUCAAGUUUCACUAAGUUGAUUGUGUUGAGUUGCAUGUGAAUAUUGGUGAGUCAAGGACUGUUGGGUACUAAAGUAGAAGGUUAAGGCCAAAGAAAAGAAAGUACCAGCCAACAUUAUUGAUGGAAUACUUUGAAAGUCAGAACUUGGAGUUGGUUGGACAAGGAAAUCUAGGUAUGGGAUUAAUUUCCUUCUUUCCCUUUUCAAUCACAAUGAACCCCCUUUCUAGUAUUCAACCUAAAUUCUAGAUAUUACUCCAUUAUAUGAGAUUGAGGGCUGCGUGUGGGUUUCAGUAGCCAAGAGACCAUGGGUGCGAGAAUUCCAAGUUUUGGGGAAGAUUAUGUGAUUUUCGUGUCUAAGGAUAUGCCUUCACUAAAACG
rnacentral:lncRNA from 1 species